rnacentral:rRNA from 1 species
GAUGAACGCUGGCGGCGUGCCUAAUACAUGCAAGUCGAGCGAAGCGGGGACGGGUGAGUAAUACGUGGAUAACCUCCUAUAAGACUGGGAUAACUUUGGGAAACCGUACUUAUACCGGUAACUUACAGUUGGAUCCUCGCUGCAUUAGCUAGUUGGUAAGGUAACGGCUUACCAAGGCAACGAUGCAUAGCCGACCUGAGAGGGGGAUCGGCCACACGGGAACGGAGACACGGUCCAGACUCCGACGGGAGGCAGCAGUGGGGAAUCUUCCACAAUGGGCGAAAGCCUGACGGAGCAAGGCCGCGGGAGUGAAGAAGGUCUUCGGAUCGUAAAACUCUGUUAUUAGGGAGGCGGUACCUAAACAGAAAGCCACGGCUAACUACGUGCCAGCAGCCGCGGUAAUAC